AUGCAUGCUGUUUGGAACCCGAGACACUUUAUUACUCCAUUAUUAUUAUUACCAAAGCUAAAGGGACAAAUCCAAGACAGUAUGGAAAAAAGGCACAUCCCACACAGAGCACCAGUAGCCAAAACACUUCAUUAUUACUCGGCCCGCCUUAUGCUGACGUUGAAGGUGUGCUCGUCGACGAGGUGGAAGACACAGAGGUCCCCGACCUUGAUCCCAUGGUGGCCGGAGAAGUGGCCCCACCCGGCCUUCAUGCGCGCCUGGUCGCUCGUCAGCGUCAGCUUCACGGGCCACGACCUCCCGCCCGAGUCCUUGAGUAUCAUCAGCCGGUUCGUCGCGAUGCCGUUCAUGACGCAGAACUUCUUCCCGAUGUUCUACACGAGCUGUAGCGAAUGUUGCAAGGAGUCGCCGUCUUGGCGUAGAAAGGGAGGGUGCCGGUGUAGUCAGACUCCUUGGCCUCCGUUGCGAUGCCGGAGUGGGUGUCCGCUUGGGCGUACUUCUCUGUGGUGGCAUCUUGCUCGCCAUCAUUGUCUUCCAUCAGAAUCCUGCGAGGUUUGUACUGCUUCUUUGCCUGUAUGGCACCAUCACCGGUAA
rnacentral:rRNA from 1 species